CAAAAACCCAGUGUGGGAGGAGGAGUGACGCAGACUAAGAAACUUUAGAGAGAAUAAGAGGUUUCUACCACUUUGCCAGAAUAAAGAAAGGAGAAUUUACCAGGAUGUGAAGAUAAAGUGACAUUAACUCAAAUGGCAUCACCAGCUGGGAGGCAACACAUAGGACCUCAAGACCAAGAGAGAUGGAAGGACUCUGAAGACAAGCCUUCAAAAGGCAAACCCAGCAGGAAGAACAGGAUUCAAGACAGCAGGCCCAGGUGCAAAAGGGAUCAAACAUGGAGAACCUGUGUUGAGAUGGCGGAACUACAAGAUGAAAGCAGCCUGAAUCUCUGGUUCAACUGAUAGCAGAGAGCCUAUGCCAACCCGUCUUUUUUUGU
ensembl:lncRNA